CCCUUAGAUGUUCUGGGCCGCACGCGCGCUACACUGACAGAGCCAACGAGUUCUUCACCUUGGCCGGAAGGUCUGGGUAAUCUUGUUAAACUCUGUCGUGCUGGGGAUAGAGCAUUGCAAUUAUUGCUCUUCAACGAGGAAUGCCUAGUAAGCGCGUGUCAUCAGCACGCGUUGAUUACGUCCCUGCCCUUUGUACACACCGCCCGUCGCUACUACCGAUUGAAUGGCUCAGUGAGGCCUUCGGACUGGCUCAGGGAGGUUGGCAACGACCACCCCGAGCCGGAAAGUUCGUCAAACUCGGUCAUUUAGAGGAAGUAAUAGUCGUAACA
rnacentral:rRNA from 1 species